rnacentral:rRNA from 2 species
GAGGAACAAUUGGAGGGCAAGUCUGGUGCCAGCAGCCGCGGUAAUUCCAGCUCCAAUAGCGUAUAUUAAAGUUGUUGCAGUUAAAAAGCUCGUAGUUGAACCUUGGGCCUGGCUGGCCGGUCCGCCUCACCGCGUGCACUGGUUCGGCCGGGCCUUUCCCUCUGGGGAACCCUAUGGUCUUCACUGAUCGUAGCGGGGAACCAGGACUUUUACUGUGAAAAAAUUAGAGUGUUCAAAGCAGGCCUAUGCUCGAAUACAUUAGCAUGGAAUAAUAAAAUAGGACGUGUGGUUCUAUUUUGUUGGUUUCUAGGACCGCCGUAAUGAUUAAUAGGGACAGUCGGGGGCAUCAGUAUUCAAUUGUCAGAGGUGAAAUUCUUGGAUUUAUUGAAGACUAACUACUGCGAAAGCAUUUGCCAAGGAUGUUUUCAUUAAUCAGGAACGAAAGUUAGGGGAUCGAAGACGAUCAGAUACCGUCGUAGUCUUAACCAUAAACUAUGCCGACUAGGGAUCGGACGGUGUUAU